AUACAUUCGGCGAGCAUUUUGGUGUAUUUGGCGGGUAGGCACACACCCAAAUCCCAAACAAGGAAAAAGCGAAAAUAAAUAAAAAUUAAUAGAGAAAGAAAAUGAAGCUGAAAAGUCCAUCAGAGCACACUAGAGAGUAGAGACCGUACAGUCCUAGUCAGAGAGACACACAACACUACACCAAACCAACGCACGCUUGUACAGUGAAGUGAAGCUGUGGAAAUUUCCUUCGAGGAAACAAGACAACCUCGCCGAUCUCACGGAACAUUCUAGUAGCAACCAACGAGAAUCUUCACUUCAAACAACCAAACACUAAAUCGUUUGCAUGGACUUGUACGGUCGGGGUCAGGCCAGAAAUGGAUCCAACCCGGUGAACCAGCCUGAAUGGCGCUCGCCGGGCACCGACACUGGCCUCGAAGAAUCGAUGUGGCAUUUAACGCUGGGUGGUGGUGAAUCUUACCCGGAGCGACCCGGUGUGCCCAAUUGUGUGUAUUACAUGCGAACCGGUGUGUGCGGAUAUGGUAGCAGGUGUCGUUAUAAUCACCCUCGCGAUCGUGCUGCGGUUGCUGCGGCAGUAAGAGUUACAGGGGACUACCCAGAAAGGGUGGGGGAACCUCCGUGUCAGUAUUAUUUAAAGACUGGAACCUGUAAAUUUGGUGCAUCCUGUAAAUUCCACCAUCCAAAAAAUGGAGGUGGAUAUUUAACCCAAGCUCCAUUAAAUAUUUAUGGAUACCCGUUACGGCCGGGUGAGAAAGAAUGCUCCUACUAUUUAAAAACGGGGCAGUGCAAAUUUGGUAUAUCUUGUAAAUUCCAUCAUCCUCAACCUGCUGGCACAUCAUUGCCAACUUCUGCACCUCAAUUUUAUCAACAGGUGCAGUCUCCCACGGUUCCUCUGCCUGAACAGUAUGGAGGAGCAUCCACAAGCUUGAGAGUGGCCAGGCCUCCUGUAUUGCCUGGUUCAUAUGUACAAGGGGCUUAUGGUCCUGUACUUCUUUCUCCAGGGGUUGUCCAAUUUCCUGGAUGGAGUCAUUAUUCGGCACCUGUAAGUCCUGUGCUAUCUCCUGGCGCUCAACCUACUGUUGGGGCCACUUCUUUAUAUGGAGUGACCCAGUUGUCAUCCCCAACAUCAGCUUUUGCUAGACCAUAUACUCCUCUGUCCUCUACUACCGGCCCUUCAGGAAGCAAUCUGAAGGAUCAAUUUUUUCCUGAAAGACCCGGUGAACCUGAAUGCCAAUACUAUCUGAGAACAGGGGACUGUAAAUUUGGAUUAGCUUGUCGAUAUCAUCAUCCUCGGGAUCAUAUUGUGGCACGGCCACUUCUUAGCCCUGUUGGACUUCCUUUACGUCCGGGGGUACAACCUUGUGCAUUUUAUUUGCAAAAUGGGCAUUGCAAGUUUGGCUCCACGUGCAAAUUUGACCAUCCUUUGGGAUCUACGAGAUACACACCAUGGGUAUCUUCUUUCAUUGAUGUGCCAGUUACUCCAUACCCAGUUGGGUCGUUGCUCUCUCAGCUGGCUCCUUCAACAACAUCUUCAGAGCUUCGGCCUGAACUGAUGUCAGGGUCCAAAAAGGAAUCCCUUGCAGCCAGAAUAUCUUCUUCUGGAAAUAGUUCUGGUACUUCUGUGGGUCUAAUUUUCUCACAAGGUGGGUCUGUUUCGCUAUCUAAUGUGCAACUCUCAAGUCAGAGUUCCGCCCCCUCUAAGCAGUAGCAGAAGCACCAGACAAAGCCGCGAGAUACGGGAAUGCAAACUUGAAAAUAACUCAUUAUCUAUUGGAUGUGAUUUCACAAGCCUCCAUUACUUCUGUCUAUAGUCCUCAGUACUUUGAAGGCAACUGUUCAAAGUUUCACAUUCGCUGUUGAAAAUUCAUCAUCCAAUCCUGUUUAUAGCCGAUACUAGGUCAUUCUCUUUUAUGCUCAUCUCAUCUGAUUAUAUUAGUAUUUCAAAUAAGCUUCAAUAGAAAACUCCAUAUUAUCUACUCUUCCUCUCUUCUGCACAUUACUACUAUUCUUUGUUUAUAGCGUUUGUGUGAUGAUUGUCAUUACAUUUAUGCGUGUUUGAGACAAGGCCUAGUCCCUGCCCUACUAAGAUGAUGAGAGAGCUUAUGUUCCAGUUCA